AUUCACUGAAUAGCCACCUUGCUUAAGCCUUGAAGUAAUGAUUAAUUGCUUCAAUCCACCUUAUCCACAGAGGUGGAAGGCCUCUGUUUUCGAACAUGGUAAAAAUAAAUCAGUUUAGCUUAUCGAAAGCUUUUUCAAAAUCCAAUAUGAAUCCUUUCUUGUCUCUCUUCCAUUAAUGUAAAAUCUCAUGAGCAAAUAAGAACUUAUCCAUUGUAGAUCUGACUGUAACGGAA
rnacentral:lncRNA from 1 species